rnacentral:rRNA from 1 species
UCUGGCUCAGGAUGAACGCUAGCUACAGGCUUAACACAUGCAAGUCGAGGGGCAGCAUGAAGUUGCUUGCAAACUUGAUGGCGACCGGCGCACGGGUGAGUAACGCGUAUCCAACCUUCCCCUUAGUAGAGGAUAGCCCGGCGAAAGUCGGAUUAAUACUCUAUGUUGUAUUUUGAGGACAUCUGACGAAUACCAAAGAUUCAUCGCUAAGGGAUGGGGAUGCGUCUGAUUAGCUUGUUGGCGGGGUAACGGCCCACCAAGGCGACGAUCAGUAGGGGUUCUGAGAGGAAGGUCCCCCACAUUGGUACUGAGACACGGACCAAACUCCUACGGGAGGCAGCAGUGAGGAAUAUUGGUCAAUGGGCGAGAGCCUGAACCAGCCAAGUAGCGUGCAAGGAAGACUGCCCUAUGGGUUGUAAACUGCUUUUAUCAGGGAAUAAAGUGCGGCACGUGUGCUGUUUUGUAUGUACCUGAUGAAUAAGGACCGGCUAAUUCCGUGCCAGCCGCCGC